rnacentral:lncRNA from 1 species
GGGCUGGGGUUGUGGGUUGGGGAGAAGGCAGGGGUAUCCUUUAUCUCUGACCUCCUUCAUUCAGCUGAGCCUGGCCCCCCUUUUAUUUUUCUCCAGUUUCUUUUUAAUGCCUCCUCGGUCUCUACCUCCGUCUCUCUUUCCCUGGGUCUCUCUCCCCUCCAGUCUCAGUCUCUCCCCAUCUGUCUCUCUCUUUGGACCUCUCUCUUUCCUUUUGCACCUGCCUUUCUGUCUCCAGGAACCCAAUGCCACUCAGACCCCUCUCCCCUAAUUUUCUUUCAUUCUCCCCCCUCUCUCUUUCUCUCUCUCUCUCGUCUCUCCUCAUCUCUCUCUCUCUCUCUCUCUUCUCUAAAUUUCUUCUCUAAGACCUUUGCCCCAUCCCCAAUUUCUCUCCCCCUUUUAUUUCUUUCCUUCUCUCCCCCAUCCUCUCAGUCCUCUGUCUGUCUCUCUCCCAUCUGUCUUUCCUCCCCCUCUUUGGAUGACUCUGUCUCUUCUUUCCUUCUGUUACCCAGAUCCCGACCCCCCCAUCCUCUCCCUCGCCCCAAUCUUUCCCCAUCCCCCAUCUCUCCCCCAGCCUCUGGGUUUCUGUCUCUGUCUCUGUCCCCUUUUCUCUCUGGAUAUUUCUCUCUGUGUGUGUCUCUCUCUCCAACUUCCUUCUGCUACCAGCCGCUGCCUCCCCCAAAUUUCUCCCUCCCCCAUUUCUGUUUCUCCGACUCUGGAUCUCGGUUCUUUCCGCCUCUCCUGGCUCUGUCUCUCUCCCUCCCUCUCUGGGUCUCUCUCUUUUUCCCCAGCUUCCUUCUGCCACCCAGACCCUUCCCCCCCAUCACUACCCUUCCCCCCAUCCAUCUCCUCUCCGUGGUCUCCCCCUUCUCAGCGGCUCCCCUCCCCCUCCCUCCUCCCUCCCUCUCUCGUCCUCCAGCUCCGCACUUUACCCAGCGACACGAGAACCAAAUUGUCUCCUCACCUUUUUUUUUCCCCAUCCCGACCCCCUCUACCUCGGGGCCCAAGCUCAGAGCUGCCCCUCAGCCUCCUCUCCCACCUCGACAGCCCCAUUCCCCGUAAGCCUCCUCAUCUCCACCCCCCAACCAGGUCGGACGCCUGGGUCCCUCGCUGCUGGGGGAGGGGGAGCAGUGAGAAUUGGGAGCCACGAGGGUUUUUCUGGGGGGGUGCCGACAGGGGGCUCAGCGUCCCCUCCCCAGUGCAUCGGAGAGUUGACCUAUCGUUAAGAGCUAAAGAGAGAUUGAGAGAUUUAUUUUUCCCAAGUAGAGGACAAAACAGGUGAAGAGGUGAGACUUGCAGGGGAAGAUAGGGAGUGGGAGAACUAUAUGAGAGAAGGGUGAUGGAUGGGAGGGGGGUGUCUUGUAAGAGCUGAGGAACUGGACUGGGCUUUGUUGGGAAGGAAGCCCUGGGGGCUAGAGUGAGGGAUGGCUUUCCCUGUGGUGGGGGUGGGGGUGGGGCUUGGAGGCGUGCCCUAC